rnacentral:rRNA from 1 species
CCUACGGGAGGCAGCAGUGGGGAAUAUUGGGCAAUGGAGGAAACUCUGACCCAGCAACGCCGCGUGAAUGAUGAAGGUCUUCGGAUUGUAAAGUUCUUUUCUACGGGAAGAAGAAAGUGACGGUACCUUAGGAAUAAGCCUCGGCUAACUAGGUGCCAGCAGCCGAGGUAAUACGUAGGAGGGAAGCGGUAUCCGGAAUGAGUGGGCGUAAAGGGGGCGUAGGGGGUUUGACAAGUUGGUAGCGAAACACCGGGGCUCAACCUCGGCACUACUACCAAAACUGUCGGACUUGAGUGCAGGAGAGGCAAAUGGAAUGCCUGGUGUAGCGGUGAAAUGCGUAGAUAUUAGGAGGAACACCAGUGGCGAAGGCGAUUUGCUGGACUGUAACUGACACUGAGGCACGAAAGCGUGGGGAGCAAACAGGAUUAGAUACCCCUGUAGUC